CUUUUGUUUUCAAUACUUUCCAGCAAUGUAGAAAAAGGACAAGCUUUGAAACUGGUCCGCAAACUGGAAGAAAUCAUGAAGCUUCCUUCUGGAACGUUCUCUGGUAUCAGACUUAAGAACGGUCAAGUCACCUUCCGUAUUAGUCCGGAUGUUGAUGGUAUCACUGCUUCCACCGUCGCCAAGGAAGUCG